rnacentral:miRNA from 1 species
GGUCAGCUGACACAUCCCGGCCAAUCUCCAGCAGACCCUCCCUCCCAGACCCUACCACCUCCUGGACAGCAUCCAUGUUGAAGCUGCCUUCAACAUGGAUGCUGUCCAGGAAGUAGGAGGGUCUGGGAGGGAGGGUCUGUUGGAGAUUGGCCGGGAUGUGUCAGCUGA